UAAACUGAAGACCUGUCAUAGACGGGGGCUGCUUGCCUGCCUGAUGUGGCAGACUGGGCCAUGGCGGAUGAAGGCUUUGAUCCUCAUCCUCCUAUCAAUGAUGCCCAUCUGUGAAGCCACUGUGGCCGUGAUAAAUAUCGAACCUUUGGAAGAUAGUGACAUAAAGGUGAGGGCCCACUAUGGUGUCAUCACCCCACUCCCAUGCCCCUCUCUCUUGCACAGCGUGUGUCAUGAGGGGGACUCAAGCUGCAUUGCACACACCUUACCCUCUCCCCUGCAAGGGCAGCAUCCUCCUCCUGGCUGGUGUGUACGCCAGUGGCAGCAAGUCAUUCCCCGGGAACAUUCCUCUGACGUCCACCUAGGAACCUCUGCUGCCGUUGUUCUCUCCACGCGAGCUGACCUGUCCAUCCGCAAGGACAAACUAAGGGUGAACCGCCCUCCAUUCUCAGCGUUGAUUCCUCCU